AAGGCACAUAGCCGAAAUGGUAAAGGCAUCUGAUUGACUAUCAGAAGUAUCUGGGUUCGAAUCCCAGUUGCU
rnacentral:tRNA from 1 species